CAUGUCCCUCAGCUCCCAUCCCCUCCUUCUUCCCUGCCCUGAGAGCCAUCCGGGUUUCCUUUCCAGUCUCCCUCUGCUCCUGUGCUUUCUUCCCCUUCCCUCACUUCCCCUGCUCUGUCUUCUCCUCAGUUCCCCGCCCUCCCUCUCUGCACCUGCCCAGUUUCCCCCAUCUCCCCUCCAUGCUCCCUUCCUCCCCAGCUCCUGAGUUGGACCACCUCAGCUCAGCGCCCUACUUCCUGUGCCUGCCCCUGCCUGCUGCCCACCAUCCCUGCACACAGCUCACUCCUCCCUCUGGCCCUCCUGCUGAGCAGGCGGCUCCCCCACUGCCCUGGGCCUGCCCACCUUCCCCAGCCCCCGCAGUCAAGGCUCUCCAACUCCACACCACCGGGGUGAGGGCAGAGAGGCACCCUCUCCAGGGCUGCGCUUCCUCCAGCAGGGCCUGUGUCCUCACCUCCAACGUGAAGAUCAGGCUGGGCCAUUAUUGCAGAGCUGUGCUGAGUGUUGAAGAAGGUGCGUGUCACGCGUUAUUAUAGGUAGCUGGUGUUUCCUGAGCGUUUGGAAACGACGCUUUGUAAAAUACUGUGAACUAACCGCAGAGCUGGGCACAGCAUGCUUCAUGAUCUCAUUUUAUACUGACGUGUUUAGUCAUCGUGCUGUCAAGUAUUCUCCAGCCACAUCAUUUGUUAGUAGUUUGACCUGCAUAGGAGGGCACUGUCACCCUCCCUCCUGCUGUGCUGAUUUCAGCUGGAGCCGCCAGGCCAGGCCGCCUCACGCGCCCCCUGCUGACUAACCCGGGAACUGCCCGCAGCCUGCUCUGAGCUUUCUGAUGUGGGCGGGACCGGGCCGGGCAGGGCCAGGCGCCUGCGGGGAGGGGCGGGGCCCGGCGACUGAGGGGAGGGGCGGGGCCAGGCGCCUGCGGGAGGAGACCUGGUCCAGGAUCAAGGAGUCGCUCAGUGCAGGACCGGCCCAGAGUUCACAUCCCUGGCUUGAUCUACAGGUAAAUUUUUUUUGUAUACUUUAAGUUCUAGGGUACAGGUGCACAACGUGCAGGUUUGUUACAUAGGUAUACAUGUGCCAUGUUGGCUUGCUGCACCCAUAAACUCGUCAUUUACAUUAGGUAUUUCUCCUAAUGCUUUCCCUCCCCCACUCCCCCACCUCCCCUACUGGCCCUGGUGUGUGAUGUUCCCCGCCCUGUGUCCAAGUGUUCUCAUUGUUCAGUUCCCACUUAUGAGUGAGAACAUGCGGUGUUUGGUUUUCUGUCCUUGUGAUAGUUUGCUGAGAAAGAUGGUUUCCAGUUUAAUCCAUGUCCCUGCAAUGGACAUGAAUUCAUCUUUUUUAUGGCUGCAUAGUAUUCCGUGGUGUAUAUAUGCCACAUUUUCUUAAUCUACUCUGUUAUUGAUGGACAUUUGGGUUGGUUCCAAGUCUUUGCUAUUGUGAAUAGUGCCGCAAUAAACAUAUGG
rnacentral:lncRNA from 1 species